CUCAUCAUGCAACAAGGUAAGUAAAGUAUUUUGUCCAUUGCUAUUAUGGUUUAUUGUUGUUUCUAAUAGCUCCACUUGUAGAUUUAUCUUCCCUAUGCAUUCAUCGGCCGAUAAAUCUUGUACGUCACCGACAAAGAGGCACGUCGUCUAUAUAUUAUGGAUCGUAUUCAAACAUCACAAUUAUCAGAGGAUAAAAAAUUGAGGCAUGCACUGAAAUUAAAAAGUUUUGUAAGGGAUUUCAAAGAAGCACUCGAAAUAAAGCUGCCUGGUUAGAAUUCUGAUAUAUCUAAAUGACAACAUUUUUUUCCGUUCGGUGUUCCAACGAGUAUAGACGGGAAUGUGUCUGGCUAUUUUGUUUUUCAUUUUAUGCUCUGGUGGAACGGUAAAGAAUUGGUCAAGCUGGUUUGCGCUGUGAGGGAGCGGUAAAGAAUUGGUCAAGCCGGUUUGCGCUGAUGGGUAUGAAUUGAGGAAGCAUUUUUUAUUAUACUUGCUAAAACAUCGUGGGAAUGAAGCUAGAGGAAACUUUCCUGAUAUCGUGAAAAAAUUUCUUAAGCACAUCAUCUAGAUAUUAAUAGUUUUAUAAUAGAUGUUCAGUUGGAACAUCGCUCAGUUUGUUAC